rnacentral:rRNA from 1 species
UACGUAGGGCGCGAGCGUUGUCCGGAUUCAUUGGGCGUAAAGAGCUCGUAGGCGGCUUGGUAAGUCGGAUGUGAAAUCUCCAGGCUCAACCUGGAGUCGCCAUCCGAUACUGCCAUGGCUAGAGUCCGGUAGGGGCCCACGGAAUUCCUGGUGUAGCGGUGAAAUGCGCAGAUAUCAGGAGGAACACCUGCGGUGUAGACGGCUAUCUGGACGGUUACUGACGCUGAGACACGAAAGCGUGGGUAGCAAACAGG